rnacentral:rRNA from 1 species
GACGAACGCUGGCGGCGUGCUUAACACAUGCGAGUCGAACGAUGAACCCGGAGCUUGCUCUGGGGGAUUAGUGGCGAACGGGUGAGUAACACGUGAGUAACCUGCCCUGGACUCUGGGAUAAGCGUUGGAAACGACGUCUAAUACCGGAUAGGACCUUGGAUCGCAUGAUCUGGGGUGGAAAGUUUUUUCGGUCUGGGAUGGACUCGCGGCCUAUCAGCUUGUUGGUGAGGUAAUGGCUCACCAAGGCGUCGACGGGUAGCCGGCCUGAGAGGGUGACCGGCCACACUGGGACUGAGACACGGCCCAGACUCCUACGGGAGGCAGCAGUGGGGAAUAUUGCACAAUGGGCGAAAGCCUGAUGCAGCAACGCCGCGUGCGGGAUGACGGCCUUCGGGUUGUAAACCGCUUUUAGUAGGGAAGAAGGGCUUCGGCUUGACGGUACCUGCAGAAAAAGGACCGGCUAACUACGUG